rnacentral:rRNA from 1 species
CGGGAAUUUUCCACAAUGGGCGAAAGCCUGAUGGAGCAACGCCGCGUGCAGGAUGAAGGCCUUCGGGUUGUAAACUGCUUUUAUUGGUGACGAUUAUGACGGUAGCCAAUGAAUAAGGGUCUGCUAACUAC